rnacentral:rRNA from 1 species
UACGGAGGGUGCGAGCGUUAAUCGGAAUUACUGGGCGUAAAGCGCACGCAGGCGGUUUGUUAAGCUAGAUGUGAAAGCCCCGGGCUCAACCUGGGAUGGUCAUUUAGAACUGGCAGACUAGAGUCUUGGAGAGGGGAGUGGAAUUCCAGGUGUAGCGGUGAAAUGCGUAGAUAUCUGGAGGAACAUCAGUGGCGAAGGCGACUCCCUGGCCAAAGACUGACGCUCAUGUGCGAAAGUGGGGGUAGCGAACAGG